AAGAGCCGUAUGCCUUAAUUGGCACGUACGGUUCUGUGAGGGGCAGAUGUCGUGAGAUGUCUGUCUACUCGAC
rnacentral:ncRNA from 1 species